GGCGGCGUGCUUAACACAUGCAAGUCGCACGAGAACUCUUCUGCUUGCAGAAGAUAGUAAAGUGGCGCACGGGUGAGUAACGCGUGGGUAAUCUACCUCUGAAUUGGGGAUAACAUUGUGAAAGCGAUGCUAAUACCGAAUAAUAUCCCGAGAACUUAGGCUUUUGGGAUCAAAGGUGGCCUCUACAUGUAAGCUACUGUUUAGAGAUGAGCCCGCGUACCAUUAGCUUGUUGGUAGGGUAAUGGCCUACCAAGGCAACGAUGGUUAGCUGGUCUGAGAGGAUGAUCAGCCACACUGGAACUGACACACGGUCCAGACUCCUACGGGAGGCAGCAGUGAGGAAUUUUGCGCAAUGGGGGAAACCCUGACGCAGCAACGCCGCGUGAGUGAUGAAGGCUUUCGAGUCGUAAAGCUCUGUCAAGUGAGAAGAACCUACUUUUUGUUAAUACCAUUAAGUACUGACGGUAUCACUGAAGGAAGCACCGGCUAACUCCGUGCCAGCAGCCGCGGCAAUACGGAGGGUGCAAGCGUUAUUCGGAAUUAUUGGGCGUAAAGGGCGCGUAGGCGGUCUUUUAAGUCAGAUGUGAAAGCCCGGGGCUCAACCCCGGAAGUGCAUUUGAAACUAAUGGACUUGAGUAUGGGAGAGGGAAGUGGAAUUCCUGGUGUAGAGGUGAAAUUCGUAGAUAUCAGGAGGAACACCGGUGGCGAAGGCGACUUCCUGGACCAAUACUGACGCUGAGGCGCGAAGGCGUGGGGAGCAAACAGGAUUAGAUACCCUGGUAGUCCACGCAGUAAACGGUGAACACUAGGUGUAGCGGGUAUUGACCCCUGCUGUGCCGCAGUUAACGCAUUAAGUGUUCCGCCUGGGGAGUACGACCGCAAGGUUAAAACUC
rnacentral:rRNA from 1 species